rnacentral:rRNA from 1 species
UACGUAGGUGGCAAGCGUUGUCCGGAUUUACUGGGCGUAAAGAGCGCGCAGGCGGUCGAUCAAGUCGCGUGUGAAAGCCCCGGCUCAACUGGGGAGGGUCACGCGAUACUGAUCGACUCGAAGGCAGGAGAGGGUAGUGGAAUUCCCGGUGUAGUGGUGAAAUGCGUAGAUAUCGGGAGGAACACCAGUGGCGAAGGCGACUACCUGGCCUGUUCUUGACGCUGAGGCGCGAAAGCUAGGGAGCAAACGGG